rnacentral:rRNA from 1 species
CCUACGGGCGGCAGCAGUGAGGAAUAUUGGUCAAUGGGCGAGAGCCUGAACCAGCCAAGUCGCGUGAAGGAUGACUGUCUUAUGGAUUGUAAACUUCUUUUGUAGGGGAAUAAAGAAUGGUACGUGUACCAUAGUGAAUGUACCCUACGAAUAAGCAUCGGCUAACUCCGUGCCAGCAGCCGCGGUAAUACGGAGGAUGCGAGCGUUAUCCGGAUUUAUUGGGUUUAAAGGGUGCGUAGGCGGCCUGUUAAGUCAGCGGUGAAAUCUAGGAGCUUAACUCCUAAAUUGCCAUUGAUACUGGCGGGCUUGAGUGUAGAUGAGGUAGGCGGAAUGCGUGGUGUAGCGGUGGAAUGCAUAGAUAUCACGCAGAACUCCGAUUGCGAAGGCAGCUUACUAAGGUACAACUGACGCUGAAGCACGAAAGCGUGGGUAUCAAACAGGAUUAGAUACCCGGGUAGUC